ACAUCAUUUGGAUACAACUUUAUUUCCAAAGCUAGUCUGAGGAGACUUCUGUUAGCCUAGGAAAAGCAAACACAGGUGGUCCCUGACACGUGAUGGUCUGACUUGAUGAUGGUGCAAAGGUACACACAUUCAGGAGAGACCGUACGUUUUCCUGCUCUCGUGAUAAGCAACAUCAUGAGUCUGAGGUCAGCCUGGUCUACAGAGCAAGUUUUAGGACUGCCAAGCUUAGGCAGGGAAAGACAGAAAGCUGGUGAAGAUGUAAGUGAACAAGGGGACCAUGUUCCAGCCCUAGUAAGCAGCAGAACUUGGCAGCUUUGGCCACGAGACUCUGGGUUAAGACUUAAGGAUAGAAGAAAGGCAUUAUGGAAUUAAGUCGCUGAGGCCAGGCUCGUGUCAGGGGUGACAUUGCGUGAAACUGUGAAGUUGAAGCCUGAAUUGCCUUGGAGAACUCAAGAUGUUGGCAAUGCCAGAGUCAUGGGAUGCCUGCUGAGGGGAGCUACUAACAGUGAUUGGAACCAGCCCAAGAGAAAGAAGUGUGAUACAGUCAGGAAGCUGGAUGAGUUGGAGUUGUGGAGCGCAUGUUGACAUCAGACGUGGAGAUGUAGAAUUUAGAGUUGUUCAGCUGGUUUUCAGUCUUUCUUUUGUCCAGUAUUUCCUUGAUAGGUGUGCUCCCUUCCUUGCACAUCUUGUGCCAUUAUAUGUUGGAGGCUCUCCGAAUGAACCGGGUGUUUGCUGGCUCAGUCCACUGGCUGACUAGAGAGCUCUGAGAAUGCAACGGUCUCCAAGACACCAGCCUCACAAUUAGAGGCACAUGGACCUCCCAGGCCCGGGCUCUGAUAAAGGAAGCAGCUAUCCACAGUGGACUGACUGUCGAUAGAGAAGAGGCCUGAGGCACCGAGGCUCAGUCCUGUGAUGCCCAGGAACCGAAUCCUGUCAUUGAACAAGGUAACUGGACUUGGAAGAAGACCCUGAGCUGCAAUGAGAACCAUGACUUCAGCAGCACUGAGAUUCAGUUGAUGUGUACCCAGAUCCUGACCCAUGGAAACAGACUACAAAUGUGACUUUUUGGGGGUUGGAGAGGUGGCAGUUACUUAGAGCACGUAUUGUUCUUACAAAGGUUCUGAGUUUUGUUCCCAGCACCUGCAUCAGGCAACUUGCAACUGCCUGUAACUAUAGCUCCAGAGGAUUGGACACCCCUGAGGGUGUCUGUCUGUUUUUCUGUCUGUCUCCUCCCUCCAUCCUCUCUCUUUUCUCUUUCUCUCAUUUCAUCAUAGCUCUAGGUACCAGAGUAGAUAAAAUGGUAUCUAUAUUAUUCUACUUGGUGACUUCCAACCCUCAAAUUGUAUGCAUCAUUAUAAGGGCAAUCGGGUUCUGAACAAGUGGCCAACCCCUCGUCCAAAGCGUAUCAGGUGUCCUAGAAACCAUUCUGUAAAACACGACUUUACUCUCUGGGGUCAGAGCUCAUCCUCAGUUGCUUGGAGUCGGGUAUGCAUAGAUUCCUCCACAGGCAAAGUCUUUACCUCAAGAGGACCUAGGUAUUCCUGGUGGCCUUGAUGUCCACAGCAUGCAACGUUUAGUGUUCCUUUCAGGAAGAGAGUGGAUUUAAGAGGAUCAAAAGACCUAACCUCCAGCCUGCUGUCAUUGUCUUCAGAAUCUCUUCCACUCGGAACUGAAGCGGUGGAUACUCCACUCUGACAGCUAAGCAUCAUAGAGAUACUAGACCCUCAGGCUUUCCCCACAGCGCAGAAUAAAUAUCCCUACCAUGUCAUAUUUGAUCUGGAGGUCUCUCCGUUGGAUUGUCUUGAAUUUUGCUAUGUAUGCAUCAUGCUCUGACGUGGUUAACCUGCUGAUCCAUCAUCCUGCCCAUUUUACUUGAGGUUUUUAAUUUACAUUAUAAUAUGAAGUAUUCUUUAUCCAAUCUAGUUUCCUUUCUCUUUUCUGCCGUAGGCAUUACCCAUCACUUCUCCGUGGUCCUAACUCCAUCUCAAUAUCUGCAUCACAGAGAUCCUGGCUAACUCAGUGACCUUCUGUGGUCAUGUGUGAGAACUGGAAAGGAGAAGUGUAAAAUCUGCAAAGAGAGGGAAGUGCGUGUGUGUGUGUGUGUGUGUGUGUGUGUGUGUGUGUAUGAGAGAGAGAGUCACAGAGACACACGCUCACAGAGACAGUUGCUUCUUUAUCCAUGUCCUCCACAGAAUGUUAUUAGCAGAUUUCCUUUUCUUUUACUUUUUUUUGUCACAAGGUUAUGUAAUCUAUAUUUGACAGCCUCUUCAGAAAGUGUGGGGGUGAAUUGGGACUACACAGUCAUCAUCCAAGUUGUUCUCUGUAUAUAGCGCCACCAAUAUGCAACCCCAGCACAACAGCAUCUAUACCACCAGGACUAAAAGAGCUGGGAAAACGCCAAGAAAAAUCCCCCAAGGCAAGUGGAGGAAGGGACCUGAGGGAAGAGAGUCCACACUAAUUGAGAUAAUCUCCUUAGAGUGUGGAAAAGAAAGGCAUUUCUGCUGAUAACAUUAAAAAGAAAGGACACCAAAGUAUGUAGCAGUGUAGCUCUGGAGCUAUUAAAAAUAAGCUGCUUAAGAAA